rnacentral:lncRNA from 1 species
GGUCUGUUCUUUCAAUUUGGUAUUAGAGCGCAGGAGACUCUUUUGUAGUUGGAUUGAUCUGAAAUAAUGGCGGACAAGGUGACAACAACAAAAUACGAGAUACCGAGAUUUGAUGGAUCAAACUUUGCACUUUGAAAGAUGAAGAUGUAGGCAGUAUUGAUCAAAGAUAAUUGUGAAAUUGCUUUGCAAGAAAAAGAAUGCAACCUCAAG